rnacentral:rRNA from 1 species
AUUGAACGCUGGCGGCAGGCCUAACACAUGCAAGUCGAGCGGAUGAAGGGAGCUUGCUCCUGGAUUCAGCGGCGGACGGGUGAGUAAUGCCUAGUAAUCUGCCUGGUAGUGGGGGAUAACGUCCGGAAACGGGCGCUAAUACCUCAUACGUCCUGUGGGAGAAAGUGGGGGAUCUUCGGACCUCACGCUAUCAGAUGAGCCUAGGUCGGAUUAGCUAGUUGGUGGGGUAAAGGCCUACCAAGGCGACGAUCCGUAACUGGUCUGAGAGGAUGAUCAGUCACACUGGAACUGAGACACGGUCCAGACUCCUACGGGAGGCAGCAGUGGGGAAUAUUGGACAAUGGGCGAAAGCCUGAUCCAGCCAUGCCGCGUGUGUGAAGAAGGUCUUCGGAUUGUAAAGCACUUUAAGUUGGGAGGAAGGGCAGUAAGUUAAUACCUUGCUGUUUUGACGUUACCAACAGAAUAAGCACCGGCUAACUUCGUG